GUGGGGAAUAUUGGGCAAUGGGCGAAAGCCUGACCCAGCAACGCCGCGUGAAGGAAGAAGGUUUUCGGAUCGUAAACUUCUAUCCUUGGUGAAGAUAAUGACGGUAGCCAAGAAGGAAGCCCCGGCUAACUACGUGCCAGCAGCCGCGGUAAUACGUAGGGGGCAAGCGUUGUCCGGAAUGAUUGGGCGUAAAGGGCGCGUAGGCGGCCUGGUAAGUCUGGAGUGAAAGUCCUGCUUUUAAGGUAGGAAUUGCUUUGGAUACUGUCGGGCUUGAGUGCAGGAGAGGUAAGUGGAAUUCCCGGUGUAGCGGUGAAAUGCGUAGAGAUCGGGAGGAACACCAGUGGCGAAGGCGACUUACUGGACUGUAACUGACGCUGAGGCGCGAAAGUGUGGGGAGCAAACAGGAUUAGAAACCCCUGUAGUCC
rnacentral:rRNA from 1 species